rnacentral:rRNA from 1 species
GUAGGUGGCAAGCGUUGUCCGGAAUUAUUGGGCGUAAAGCGCGCGCAGGCGGUUCUUUAAGUCUGAUGUGAAAGCCCACGGCUCAACCGUGGAGGGUCAUUGGAAACUGGAGAACUUGAGUACAGAAGAGGAAAGCGGAAUUCCACGUGUAGCGGUGAAAUGCGUAGAGAUGUGGAGGAACACCAGUGGCGAAGGCGGCUUUCUGGUCUGUAACUGACGCUGAGGCGCGAAAGCGUGGGGAGCAAACAGGAUUAGAUACCCUGGUAGUCCACGCCGUAAACGAUGAGUGCUAAGUGUUAGGGGGGUUUCCGCCCCCCUUAGUGCUGCAGCUAACGCAUUAAGCACUCCGCCUGGGAGUACGGCCCCAAGGCUG